rnacentral:rRNA from 1 species
AAGAGCGGCGGACGGGUGAGUAACGCGUGGGUAACCUGCCCUGUACACACGGAUAACAUACCGAAAGGUAUGCUAAUACGAGAUAACAUACUUUUAUCGCAUGGUAGAAGUAUCAAAGCUUUUGCGGUACAGGAUGGACCCGCGUCUGAUUAGCUAGUUGGUAAGGUAACGGCUUACCAAGGCGACGAUCAGUAGCCGACCUGAGAGGGUGAUCGGCCACAUUGGAACUGAGACACGGUCCAAACUCCUACGGGAGGCAGCAUG